rnacentral:rRNA from 1 species
UACAGAGGUCUCAAGCGUUGUUCGGAUUCAUUGGGCGUAAAGGGCGCGUAGGCGGCCAGAUCAGUCGGGUGUGAAAGCCCGGGGCUCAACCCCGGAACGGCACCCGAGACGGUUUGGCUGGAGACCGGGAGAGGAGGGUGGAAUAGCCAGUGUAGAGGUGAAAUUCGUAGAUAUUGGCUGGAACACCGGUGGCGAAAGCGGCUCUCUGGCCCGGUUCUGACGCUGAGGCGCGAAAGCGUGGGGAGCAAACAGG